rnacentral:rRNA from 1 species
UACAGAGGGUGCGAGCGUUGUCCGGAAUCACUGGGCGUAAAGGGCGCGUAGGUGGUUGGGGAAGCGUGUGGUGAAAGCCCGGGGCUCAACCCCGGGUCGGCCAUGCGAACUGCCCGACUGGAGCAUGGUAGAGGCCAAUGGAAUUCCGGGUGUAGCGGUGAAAUGCGCAGAUAUCAGGAGGAACACCGAUGGCGAAGGCAGGUCUCUGGGCCACUACUGACGCUGAGAAGCGAAAGCAUGGGGAGCGAACAGG